rnacentral:rRNA from 1 species
UACGGAGGGGGCUAGCGUUGUUCGGAAUUACUGGGCGUAAAGCGCACGUAGGCGGCUUUGUAAGUUAGAGGUGAAAGCCCAGGGCUUAACCCUGGAAUUGCCUUUAAGACUGCAUCGCUAGAAUCGUGGAGAGGUAAGUGGAAUUCCGAGUGUAGAGGUGAAAUUCGUAGAUAUUCGGAAGAACACCAGUAGCGAAGGCGACUUACUGGACACGUAUUGACGCUGAGGUGCGAAAGCAUGGGGAGCAAACAGG